CAGUCGCCACGGGAAUACGUAGGUGGCAAGCGUUGUCCGGAAUUAUUGGGCGUAAAGGGCUCGCAGGCGGUUUCUUAAGUCUGAUGUGAAAACCCCCGGCUCAACCGGGGAGGGUCAUUGGAAACUGGGAAACUUGAGUGCAGAAGAGGAGAGUGGAAUUCCACGUGUAGCGGUGAAAUGCGUAGAGAUGUGGAGGAACACCAGUGGCGAAGGCGACUCUCUGGUCUGUAACUGACGCUGAGGAGCGAAAGCGUGGGGAGCGAACAGGAUUAGAUACCCGGGUAGUCCCUGUCUCUUAUAA
rnacentral:rRNA from 1 species